rnacentral:lncRNA from 1 species
UUCUUUAUAGACCAUGCUGGCCUUGAACAGAGGUCUGUUUGCUUCUGUAUCCAUAGUAUUGGGAUUAAAGUUGUGUACCACCAACCCCCAGCAUGUAAGUAACAUGCUUUAAAAAAAGUCUCAUUUUUCUCUGAUUAAAGACGAGGUGUAUCAUCACAUCCAACCAAUUGCAUAGUUCUCUAGCAUGAACUUGCUUUUUAUAGGUGACACUCACAAAGAACAGUCACAGUUAAAACUGCCUGGGCAAAGAUGGGUUUUGUGUUGUGGUUUACAAGAUUACAGUCUUCAUAAUGUUGACAAGAGCUGACCAUUGAUUUGUACCUCCACUGAAGGUUUUUUUUUUUUAAGAUUUAGUUAUAUGAGUACACUGUAGCUGUCUUCAGAUAAACCAGAAGAGGGCAUCAGAUCCUUUUUUAUAGAUGGUUGUGAGCCACCAUGUGGUUGCUGGGAAUUGAAUUCAGGACCUCUGGAAGAGGAGUCAGUGCUCUUAACUGAUGUCAUCUCUCCAGUGCUCCACUGAAGGUUUUUUUUUUUUUUUUUGGAUAGUCUUGCCUUUUCAUGCCUGCUAUAGGAGUCCUUGAAAAUAAUCCAGGGACUUGGGAGAGAUGGCUGAGCAGUUAGAGUAACUGGCUAUUAUUCCAGGAGUCCUGAGUUAAAUUUGCAGCAACCACAUCUAUGAGAUCUUGUGCCCUCUUCUGGUAUGAAGGUGUACACAGCACAUAAAAUUUUUUUAAAAGUAUGAAUCCUAGGUGGAUGGUGGCGAAUACCUUUAUUCUCAGCACUUGAGAGGCAGGCUGAACUCAGUUCACUGUCAGCCUGGCUAGUUGCAGGACAGCUAAAAAAAAAACCAAAAAUCAGAAACUUACCAGUUUUCCCACUGCUGGGAUUAUAGACAGGCACCAUGUUGGCCUGAUUUGUAGAGAAUUUCUACGUUUGUAUAGAAGGUGAUAACUGAAGCAUACCUUACAUACAUUGAGACCUGUAGCUAGUAAGUGGUUUCUUGCUGCUGAGUUGUGUCCCUCUCCCCUCAACUACUAUCCUAAGUCAUAAGUUAAAGUUUGUGCUGAAGUGUAGUUCCCCUAGACUGGGUUUUUUUGUGUAGCCCAGGCUGUCCUAGUAUUCUUGCUCUGUAUACCAGACUGACCACCUAGAGAUGAAUUAUUUCAUCUACAGAGCUAGUGACUAGAGGCAGGAAAUUAUGGCUCUAUUAGAGGCUCACCUGCCUGCAUUGAAGGAGUAGGCAUGCUCUAAAGGUUGAAUGUUCCAAGUGCUCUUUGGGCAGUGCUAUGUUACACUUGGUAUAUGUGUGGGAACUCUUAGGCCCGGAUAUGAACUCUUGACAUGCUAUUUGAUGUGUUAAUUUGGUUUGAGAAGCACUCUUUCACAUACUAGGGUGCUAAUAUUUUAGAUUGUAUCGCUAAUUUUUACUUUUUAAAAAUUCAUUUAUGUGUGUAUUGUUUGCAUGUUAGGUGUGGGUAUGUGCAGACUAGAGGACUGUGGGAAUCACUUGGAGGUAGUUAUUACAGGCAGUUAAUCGAAUGUUGUGGGUGCUGGGAAUUAAAUUCAGGUCCUAUAGGAUCUAGUAUGUGCUUUCUUGGUAUUUUUUUUUUCUCUUCUUUUUGAAACUAUAGCCCUGGCUGUCAUAGAAUUUGCUUAUUAUGAGUUUGUUGACCUUGGAGACAUCCUUUCCUGUCCCAAAGUUGAAGUUUUUUAUUACCAGAUAGCUAGUGCCCAGUGUUUGGUAUUGGUUAGGUUUAGUUAUAGUAAUGUGGAUAGAUGAAAUAAAUGGAUGAUAAAGUUGUGACAUCC